rnacentral:rRNA from 1 species
CGGCAGGCUUAACACAUGCAAGUCGAGCGGAAACGAUGAUAGCUUGCUAUCAGGCGUCGAGCGGCGGACGGGUGAGUAAUACUUAGGAAUCUACCUAGUAGUGGGGGAUAGCACGGGGAAACUCGUAUUAAUACCGCAUACGUCCUACGGGAGAAAGGGGGCAACUUGUUGCUCUCGCUAUUAGAUGAGCCUAAGUCGGAUUAGCUAGAUGGUGGGGUAAAGGCCUACCAUGGCGACGAUCUGUAGCUGGUCUGAGAGGAUGAUCAGCCACACCGGGACUGAGACACGGCCCGGACUCCUACGGGAGGCAGCAGUGGGGAAUAUUGGACAAUGGGGGAAACCCUGAUCCAGCCAUGCCGCGUGUGUGAAGAAGGCCUUUUGGUUGUAAAGCACUUUAAGCAGUGAAGAAGACUCUUCGGUUAAUACCCGGAGACGAUGACAUUAGCUGCAGAAUAAGCACCGGCUAACUCUGUGCCAGCAGCCGCGGUAAUACAGAGGGUGCAAGCGUUAAUCGGAAUUACUGGGCGUAAAGCGAGCGUAGGUGGCUUGAUAAGUCAGAUGUGAAAUCCCCGGGCUUAACCUGGGAACUGCAUCUGAAACUGUUAGGCUAGAGUAGGUGAGAGGGAAGUAGAAUUUCAGGUGUAGCGGUGAAAUGCGUAGAGAUCUGAAGGAAUACCGAUGGCGAAGGCAGCUUCCUGGCAUCAUACUGACACUGAGGCUCGAAAGCGUGGGUAGCAAACAGGAUUAGAUACCCUGGUAGUCCACGCCGUAAACGAUGUCUACUAGUCGUUGGGUCCCUUGAGGACUUAGUGACGCAGCUAACGCAAUAAGUAGACC